GAUCUUCAGUCUUAUUUAGAAAAGCUUAAUGUUAAAGAUCUAGUUUUUUCAAAACUAAAGAUAACAAGGAGUAUGAGAAUUUCUAUUUCGGAGUGUAAAGGCGGAGAUGUUUCCUUGGCUUCUCUGAGCCUAUAGGCCUUCCUUGCUCUUUAAGGAAGUAGAGAGAGGGAGGAAAGUAAAGAAGCCCCACCCAGUGCUUGUUGAAGGCAGAAAGUUGUUGAAAGCAAGCCGGGAUUUGAACAGUGGAUUGAGGUUUCGAAUAUCCAGUGAACCAAAAUAUAUCAGGGUUCCCCUGGCCAAGAUGAGUGACCAUUCUGAGGUGUUAAGUAUUUCUUGAAUGGGGAUUUUAGGAAAAGUUUCUGUAUUUCUUUCUGUGCUCAUUUUGUUGACCUCUGUAUGUGCAAAAUCUCUAAGGGGGUGUUUGGGCACUUAGAUUUCUUGGAUGCAGAUUUGUUUGUAUAUGAAACAAAUUUUAAAUUGUUUUGUAUACACUGGAUUUAAAAUAUUUUAGUUUACUAAAGUGUUUUAAUGUUUUCAUCUUAAUUUUCA
rnacentral:sRNA from 1 species